CCCUAAACCGACACUGGUGGAUAGGUAGAGUAUACCGAGGCGAUCGAGUGAAUCGUGGUGAAGGAACUCGGCAAAAUGCCCCCGUAACUUUGGGAUAAGGGGGACCUGAGCUGUCGUGCACCCGUGCGGUGUGGUGGCGGUGAGGGGCGCAGAGUCCAGGGGGAAACGACUGUUUACCAAAAACACAGGUCCGUGCGAAGUCGUAAGACGAUGUAUACGGACUGACUCCUGCCCGGUGCUGGAA
rnacentral:rRNA from 1 species